rnacentral:rRNA from 1 species
UACAGAGGGUGCGAGCGUUAAUCGGAGUUACUGGGCGUAAAGCGUGCGUAGACGGUUAUUUAAGUCGGGUGUGAAAGCCCCGGGCUCAACCUGGGAAUUGCAUUCGAGACUGAAUAGCUAGGGUACGGUAGAGGGAAGCGGAAUUUCCGGUGUAGCGGUGAAAUGCGUAGAUAUCGGAAGGAACAUCAGUGGCGAAAGCGGCUUCCUGGACCAGUACCGACGUUCAGGCACGAAAGCGUGGGGAGCAAACAGG